rnacentral:rRNA from 1 species
UCGAGAAUCUUUCGCAAUGGGGGAAACCCUGACGAAGCGACGCCGCGUGCAGGACGAAGGUCUUCGGAUUGUAAACUGCUGUCGGCUGGGAAGAAUAAGCUAUUGAUUAAUAAUCAGUAGCCUUGACGGUACCAGCAAAGGAAGCCACGGCUAACUCUGUGCCAGCAGCCGCGGUAAUACAGAGGUGGCAAGCGUUGUUCGGAUUUAUUGGGCGUAAAGGGUCCGUAGGCGGUUUGGAAAGUCAGAUGUGAAAUCCCACAGCUCAACUGUGGAACUGCAUUUGAAACUUCCAGACUAGAGUAUGAGAGGGGUAAGGGGAAUUCCCGGUGUAAGGGUGAAAUCUGCAGAGAUCGGGAGGAACACCAGUCGCGAAGGCGCCUUACUGGCUCAUUACUGACGCUCAGGGACGAAAGCUAGGGGAGCAAACGGGAUUAGAUACCCCUGUAGUCC